UCCUUCAGUAGAUACAAAAAUAAUUAGCAUCCCUCAGUAGAUUCUACCUAAAAAUUUCAACACCCAUCAAUAAGUGUUUAUACUCCCCUUACUUGAUAUUCUUUUCUUUUUCAUCUUCCUGCUGAAUUUCUUCAGAAAAUUAGAACACCAAUCAUCUGUUUCCAUGUUUCAAUCAUAGGAACUUUGAUCUCCAAUUUCUUGAAGAUCUCCGUAAAGCACAUAAAUUUCUUUUCUUUCCUAUGAUAUUUCUUUUUAUGAGGAAGGGGUUUUUCACAUGAUCUUUUCUUUCCUCUUUUUCUCACUUCUCUUUUCUCUCAAUUUUCUCUUUUUCUUUUCUCUUAUUUUUUUCUUUAUUUUAACACAUUUUCUCUUUUUUUUCUCUUUUUUCUCAACCACUGCUUUUUCUUUCUCCUCAUCUUUCUCUCCCUCACUCAACUCUUCUGUUUCUUCUUCCUUUACAUCUCUCUCUAUCUUUUCCUCCUCAACAACCUUAUCAUUUUCAAAGAUAGUGGCUUGAUAUUCUUCUGUAGGGUUAACUUCAAUGUUAACCCCAAAUUGAUUUUUUUCUGUGACCUCCACCCUUUUAGAUAGCUGACCAAUUUGUGUCUCCAAAUUCCUGAAGCUAACGUCAUAGCUCUUGGAAUCGUACUUCUUCAAAAAUUUGUCGAACUUUUCAUUAAAACUAUUGACUUUUUCUGUUAAAUUAGCUACUUGAUGACAUAGUUGUUGCUUG
rnacentral:lncRNA from 1 species